UGCGUAAACAAUGCCCCCGCUCUUAAACCCCUGCAGUAGCGGCACGAGCUCAACAUACAAGGGCAUUGACGGCUUGAGCAUGGUGGUGGUGAAGGGUGCUCUUAAACACCUUGAUCUUGUCACCAACCAGCCGUCCAAUUGCAGCUAGAUGAUCUUACACAGUCCUGAGGUUCUGGAGGUGAUCUUACAAAAUUGCCAACGCCUUCGUUCUCAUCUAGGUCAGCUACUGGGUAAGUUCGAACCCUUGUUCUUGGGAAACUUGAGCAUGAGCCUCUUGAAUAACAUGCUCGACUUGGCAAGAAGUUUCAAGACCGACAACCUAACUGAGAGAUUCCUCGGAAAGGGUACCGACAAUCCAGCCACGAAGUAGUCAAUCUGUCUUCGCCAUUGCAGGUGAUUUAAUGAAGCAGGUGGAUCGAAAGUUGGGCUCCGAGUUCAACAAGGAGGAGGCAAUAAUUACAAUGAUCAAAGUUGCUCCACUUUGUGCUAAUCCAUGACCAGUAGACUCACCAUAUCUGCAGUGUUAAGCAUGCUCGAAAGCCAAAUUAUUGCUAAUGAAGAUAUCAUGGAUCCAAGCAUAUAUGGUGAUGAAUAUAGGCUUAGAGCUUCAAGAGACCAGUUUAAUCAAAUCCAACAAGGAGUAGCUCAAGUGAAUCCGAGACCCUUAUUCAUUCAUCAGAUCCGACAUGGUUUGGAACUUCUACUUCUACCCACGUCCUCUAUCCACUUAAAAUAUUUUUCCCCACCAUGCAGAAUAUAUUUUCUAAUAAUAAGAUACGAUAUUUGCUUCACCAAUCCCAACUUCCAAGAGUGGAAGAAACAACAGUCUACUUUAAGUCCAUGCUUCUUAAGAAACAACAGUGGGGGAAAUCUGGUUUUAAGAUGAAGAUGUAAGAUCCUUGUCUUUUUAAUCAAAUCCUAGAAAUGCUUCCUCUA